GCCGGGAUAGCUCAGUUGGGAGAGCAGCAGACUGAAGUGGUUGCUCCGGUUUCUGAAGGUCCCGUGUUCAAUCCACGGUCCUGGCA